CAGAGCCCACCGCUGCCGAAUCAGGCUCCUCGUGAUCUGCGCGAUCUGAACCCCUCUCUCCAAUCCAUGGACACCGAGAGAUAUCUCUCGCUCCCCUCGUGCGAUUCCCGUGCAAAUCCCUCGAGGUAGAACUCAAUUACGAGCGAACGGAGCACCCCAUCUUCGCUGCCCGAGCUCCCUUUUCUGGUCGAUGUCGUCGUUAAUCCUCUGAUGCGAGCCCCAGCCAAACUGAUCUCGCCGGAGUUCCGCUCCUGAAGCUUCUGCUCGCCAUGACCGCUUGAGGAAGUGCACGCCUCCACCGAGCACUCCACUGUCUCUGCCGCAUCAAGCCUAACCUUCCGUCUUUGCCGCCCGGAGGAGCGCAGGAGAAGUCACCAGGAUCGAUCCCGAAGCCGCUGCCGUCUUCCUCUGUUUCUGAUUGUUCGGAGCGUGACGAGUAGAAUCAUCAGGAAUUGUGAGUGCGAAGAACUUCAUCAAACGUACCAG